CCACUGCACAGUGAGAGGUAGUAGGACCGGCAGCGGGUCCGCCGCCGACCCGGAAGUGCUUCAGCCGCCUACCGCGAGGCUGGUAGGGGGUGAACCCGGAAGAGGUUUCCUCUAGCGGAGGAUGGCCGGAUACAAAGUCCAGGCCUUUGAAGACUUGGAAGCCCCUAGAUAUUGGGGCAUUUUAUUAUCCCAAAGAUAAUAAAAGUGUGUGUAGUAUAAAAGUGGGAGAAGAGAGAAGGACAGUAAAGAACGGGUGGGCAAGAAGUUCUCCGGUCCAGAAUCCCGAGCGUCGAGAGUGGGGAGCGCAGCCUAACACGCCGACGCCGAGUUGUUUGGGGGAGCGACGGAGGGUUUUCCUGUCACAGGAAGUCGGGCCGGGCCGGGGAAGGAAGAAUGAGAGAGCGGUGACUGUCCCCUGCCCCCCCCCCCCCCCCCCCCGCGACUGUCCUACCUAGUGAGUUGGAUGUAGCGGCCCGGGAGGUGUCGGGCCGCCAGCACGGCUGCGACCGCGGGGUUUCCUUCGUGGGAACAAGGAGGCGCGACUUCCAGCCAAAAUUAGUAUACUUUCCUCCAAAAGGUAUUUGGGGAUUAUUAAAUAAAUCACAGAAGAAAACGUUACUUAACAAAGUGAAAAUUAUCGUUUAUGUUAAUAAGCGAUGCUUAUUAGAUUGGUUGGAGGAACAAAAAGAAAGCAAGCUAAGGUGAGAAGUAACACUGGUGGUUGUUUCUGUUCUGCUUUAUUAUUACUUACUCUAUUAUAUAAGCCACUUUGGGUAGUUAAAGAUUGAGGUUUUUCUGAUCAACAAAUCCCUGGAGGGGAAUUCUUACUGAUGUUUAGUUAUCAUCUCUUUAAUGUCAUAGUACUUUAAAACUGUGAAUUCUUCCAGAAAAUGGAGAAGUGAGUAAUGUAACCACUCUACUUCAUCUUUCCCCUUCUGUUAAAUAAAGAAAAACUUAGUAAUAACUAUUUCAUCAGACUUUGGAGGGGAAUAAGAUAAGCUAAAGAUGUAAAGCAUUUAGCACAGUGUAUAUAAUGCAUAGUAAGCAUAUGGAUGUUAACUACUUUUCACAUUAUUCAAAAGUAUAUUAAUGCUAUACUAAGGAAAGUAACAAAAAUUUUAGAACAACUUUCAUGGCUGGUGGGAAUCAAAAUAAAAUGCAUUUUAUCAGCAGUUCCCAACUAUGUGGAUGUUAACUGCUAUGAUUAUUUAAAGUUGGCAUGGAUUUUAAAAAGCUGAGUAACAUUGUUUAAGGGAAACAAUUUUUUUGUCUCAGUAACAUCUCCCAGAACCUUAGGAAAAUACCCUAUUUUGUUUGUUUUCUUUUUUUCUUUUUUUUUUUUUUUUUUUUUUACCAAAGCACUGAUCGGCUCUGGUUUAUGGUGGUGCGGGAAAUUGAACCUGGGACAUUGGAGCCUCAGGCAUGACAGGCUGUUGGCAUAACCAUUACCAGUUAUAUAACCAUUAUGCUAUAUACUCCCGCCUUGUUUUCUCUUUCUCAGUGAAGGUGCACUCUCUUAUGUUUUUUAGUAAUCUUUGUUACCAUACCCUUUACAAACUGGUAAUUACCUUGUCAACUUCAAUUUCUGCUAAUGAAAUUUAUCAUACCCUUAUUCACAUACUGAAUUUUCUCUUUUUUUCCACCACCAAAGUAUUUUUAAGUUUGUUCAGUUAUACUCGAUAUUAUAUAGCAGAUAUUUCUGGCUAAAAAUACUAUGGCAUUUUGUUUAACAGGACUGUUAAA